AACGAACGCUGGCGGCAUGCCUAACACAUGCAAGUCGAACGAGACCUUCGGGUCUAGUGGCGCACGGGUGCGUAACGCGUGGGAACCUGCCCUUAGGUUCGGAAUAACUCCCCGAAAGGGGUGCUAAUACCGGAUAAUGUCUUCGGACCAAAGAUUUAUCGCCUUUGGAUGGGCCCGCGUUGGUUUAGCUAGUUGGUAGGGUAAAAGCCUACCACGGCGACGAUCCAUAGCUGGUCUGAGAGGAUGAGCAGCCACACUGGGACGGAGACACGGCCCAGACUCCUACGGGAGGCAGCAGUGGGGAAUAUUGGACAAUGGGCGAAAGCCUGAUCCAGCAAUGCCGCGUGAGUGAUGAAGGCCUUAGGGUUGUAAAGCUCUUUUACCCGGGAUGAUAAUGACAGUACCGGGAGAAUAAGCUCCGGCUAACUCCGUG
rnacentral:rRNA from 1 species